AGAGCUCAGGUCUUCUUCAGGUCCUGGGAGAUGAUGCAAUUGAUCAUGGAACUGCAACCUUUGAUGAUUUUCCUAAUGUUCUUCCCAGCAUGUAAGAGAAAAUAGUCUCCCCACUCUUGUAGACAAUCCAUUGCUUUGCUGUGUCAUUCCAUGUCAUUUCAUGUUUCAUUUUUCUUCUCCAUAUACAGACAUUUCCUCUCAGAUCACUCUUACUGAGUCUGGAGGUGGCGUGAAAAGACCAGGAGAGACAUUGCGACUGACCUGUACGGUGACUGGGUUUUCUUUAACAAGCUAUGGAGUACACUGGAUCCGUCAGCCACUCGGAAAGGGACUGGAGUGGGCUGGAGUUAUCUGGAGUGGUGGAAGCACUGACUAUAGCAGUGCCCUCCAAAACCGGAUCACCAUCUCAAGAGACACCUCAAAAAACCAGGUGUUCCUGCAACUGACUAGCCUGAAGCCUGAAGACUCGGCCAUGUAUUACUGUUCAAGGCACACAGUGAGCAAAGCUUUCUCAGAG